UCUCUGCAUACCUGAGGCCUUCUGAAGGACUGAGGCCAAGAGGGUUUAUUUCCAAAAAUGUCCUCCAGCCCUGCUGUUGCCUUUGGCAGUUGGUUCCCUGAGCUGUGGUGCUGGCUGCUGACUGAAAGCAAGGCGCUGAGAGCCAUGUUGACCUGCCCUGGGGCUCACGUCGGACCUGGCCAAAAAGUGUCCCCUCCUCUGCACAGCAGGACACUUUGUCCGAAACACCAAGAACUCAGAGAACAAUCAUCUGGGGCCGGGAUGUUUUUCUUUCUAAGCGGACUGUCUAUGCUAAUGGCUUGUGACUUGUCAACAGGAACCAAAUUCCCAUGGUGUCUGGAGGCAGAAACCAUGGCAUUUUGGCACAUUUCACCACGCUCAAAUCAAUCACCUCUGAAAACAGUUCCGUGAGAGAGAUUGGUUGGAUGAGAUAGAUGGAAAACCAGAAUUUAUUCCCCAUUUCCUUUCUCCACCAGCCACAGUGUACAUAACUGCAGCACUUGUAUAAAUUGUUUAGGGAAGAGGCUCACACUCCUCUGUACACAGGGCUUUGGGUCUCAGUUCUGGUGGACCGGUAGUAAGGCUCCUUUUAUGCCAUGUAUUUAUGAUGGGUGUCUUGAGACUUCUUUAUGACUUGGAAACAUUUAUGGUGGAAGAACAGAUGCCGGCCUCUAUUGCUUUUCAUCAUCUAUUUUAUUUUUUAAAAACAGCAUGCAAUAUAAUUAAAUAUAAUAUGAAUAUGACAACAUUUAGAAUCUUCUGCUAGAAACACAUGCAAUAACAUAAUAGUAGAGUGAUACAGUGGUGGAAUAUACUCACUAAGAGAAUAAUGUGUUUUGGCGUGUUUUCAUCAGAUAAUAUUUCCCUAACAAUUUGGUUCAGAUUAUAGCCAAUCUGAUUUGUAAACCAAGAGGCGGUCAGAUGGAGACUGCACUUUUUGCAUCAGAUAAUGUGUACACAAAUGUUUCAUUAUUCCAUCUGCUCUUGUUAACGUUGACAACAGUCACCAUCAAUAAAGCAAUACUUGCUGGCCGUUA